rnacentral:misc_RNA from 1 species
CGCACCUUGCGCUCCUUGGUAUUCCGAGGAGCAUGCCUGUUUGAGUGUCAGUUAAUUCUCAUUCCCUCCAGCUUUUGUUUCAAAAGUCUGGCUAUGGGACUUGGACGUGGAGGUUUUUGUUGGCCUUUUUUCAGGUCAGCUCCUCUGAAAUGUAUUAGUGGAACUGUUUGCAAUCCAUCACAGGCGUGAUAAUUAUCUAUGCCAUUGAGUUGCUCUCUAUCAAGUUCUGCUUCUAACUGUCCCAUUCAAUGUGGACAAACUAUAACUGAAUAUGUGACCUCAAAUCAGGUAGGAUUACCCGCUGAACUUAA